AUUGUUUUCGUCGUUUGAGCACGUGCGAAUUAGACGAAAACUACUUUCCCUUGUCAAUGUAGUUUCCGAUAGGUGGCUCUGUAAGAGAGCGUUUUACUCGUGGCCGAGUAACUCUGUUCAGUCAUUCAGCGUUGGGAUUGACUGAUCGAUACAUGUGUUAAUUUUUUAUUUUGUUUUGAAUAACAGUAAGAGUAACAUUACAAACGUUAUUGUUUAAAAGUGUAAUCUACAUGCUUUUUACCCUGGUACGAGCUAAUUUUGAAAUUCAGGAAUGUGUUUUUUACAACAGGUCAUGCGUUUAUCCACAUUACGUACGCAUUUAAUGUAUUCAAUUUAUACAUGUAUACCAGUAUCAUAAUAAUUAUUAUUUAUCCCACUGAGGGAUUCAGUCUCCGGAAGAGACGAUAGGCGUGGCUGCCUUUAUAGUUGCUUACGAGGAGGGACUCGUGUAGGCAUACAGUAUGCCUGGUGAUGUAACAGUCUACGUUGAUAGGCGUGGCUUCCUUUAUAGUUGCUUACGAGGAGGGACUCGUGUAGGCAUACAGUAUGCCUAGUGUCGUAGUAGUCUGUUGAUAGGCGUGGCUGCCUUAUAAGUUGCCUACGAGGAGGGACUCGUGCCGGCAUACAGUAUGCCUGGCGUUGUUGUAGACUAUGUUGUAUGUUGUAACAAAGUUUUUGUGUGUAUUCAUGUUUUUUAUGUAUGUUUGAUGACUAUGAAAUAGUAAUACACGGUAUCAGUCAGUCGGUCAUACCAAUGACUUACCAAAAAAUA